rnacentral:rRNA from 1 species
CCUACGGGCGGCAGCAGUAGGGAAUAUUGCUCAAUGGGGGAAACCCUGAAGCAGCAACGCCGCGUGGAGGAUGAAGGUUUUAGGAUCGUAAACUCCUUUUGUUAGAGAAGAUUAUGACGGUAUCUAACGAAUAAGCACCGGCUAACUCGGUGCCAGCAGCCGCGGUAAUACGGAGGGGGCAAGCGUUACUCGGAAUCACUGGGCGUAAAGAGUGCGUAGGCGGGGUAAUAAGUCUGAUGUGAAAUCCUGUGGCUUAACUACAGAACUGCAUUUGAAACUGUUACUCUGGAGUGUGGGAGAGGUAGGUGGAAUUCUUGGUGUAGGGGUAAAAUCCGUAGAGAUCAAGAGGAAUACUCAUUGCGAAGGCGACCUGCUGGAACAUUACUGACGCUGAUGCACGAAAGCGUGGGGAGCAAACAGGAUUAGAUACCCCUGUAGUC